ensembl:lncRNA
GAACUCUCUUGUAUUCAUCUGACAUCUCUGUUUCAGUUCUCUUUCAUUUGGUAUCUCAAUUCUGUCUUUUUCUUCAUCAGAUUGCAAACCCAAACUGGAAAACUCAAUAUGUCAUAGUUUACUCUUCCUUGUCUCUCGGACUAAGAUUCCUCCCUAUUUGGUCACCUGCCACCAGUCUACUAUUAUGCUGUCUUGGAGAAGGAAAAGGCAACCGUCUCCAGUAUUCUUUCCUGGAAAAUUCCAUGGACAGAGAAGCCUGCUCACUGAGAUGUCUUGAAACAACCAUUUUGAUGUCUUUCUCAGGCAAAUUGCAGCUCCACAUUUCUCUGGAUUGUGGUUCCAGCCCUCGGAUGCUCUGUGUUUCAUCCUAAAGUCCUCUGUCACCUGGACAUCUACUAUAAGAGCUGACUGGAAAGUGAGCCUUUGUCAUCAGAGACAGAGUCCUAGGAGUUGCUUGGAGUUAGCUCCAGGAGUCCAAGGAGCACCGCCUACCGACUAGAUGAGAUUUAGUUAAGACUGGGGAGUUGGGGAUUCUAGGUAGUGCUUUUGAGUCCAUCUUCAAAUACAUCAGAUAAUCCUACUCAUUUAUGGUUGAUGUGCCUUUUUAC